AUUGAACGCUGGCGGCAGGCCUAACACAUGCAAGUCGAGCGAGCGGCGGACGGGUGAGUAAUGUAUGGGGACUGCCCGAUAGAGGGGGAUAACUACUGGAAACGGUGGAUAAUACCGCAUACUAUCGGAUAACCCAUAUGGGAUUAGCUAGUAGGUGGGGUAACGGCUCACCUAGGCGACGAUCUCUAGCUGGUCUGAGAGGCUGUACAGCCACAUGGGGACUGAGACACGGCCCAGCCUCCUACGGAGGCAGCAGUGGGGAAGAUUGCACAAGGGGCGCAAGCCUGAUGCAGCCAUGCCGCGUGUAGGAAGAAGGCCUUAGGGUUGUAAAGUACUUUCAGCGGGGAGGCGUUACCCGCAGAAGAAGCACCGGCUAACUCCGUGCCAGCAGCCGCGGUAAUUC
rnacentral:rRNA from 1 species